GUGUGCCUCUGCCUCUACUGAAUUCAUUCUUCCCUCUCAGGAGAGAGAGGGAAAUGCAGGCUACCUCAAAAGCUGUGAAGUUGCUUUGUUUGCUCUUAUCUCAGGAAGAGGUUUCCACAGAUUUGUUUAUGAAGCAGAGGAGACAAGAGGACUGAGGAACCAUUCAGGACAUAAGAAGGCUGAAUCUUGCCUUCAAAAUCAACACUGAUCUUUCCGAUCAUGUGAUAGAGAAGAAACCAAAUGUCCUCUAAUGGCUGCUCCACUGGAAAUCCAGGCAAGGAGUGGCAACCUGGCACCGUGAUCCCAGAGCACUGUAAGGCUGGAGUUCACGUACAAUUCACUUCUGAUCUGGAGACAAAAAAUGACAAUUUCUGCCUGAGGAGACUGUUCCUUCAGCUGCUGUCAGAGCUGUUCCUGUCAUUAUGGCUCAGGCCUGUAAGACUGUUCCUGCGUCUUCCAGAGAAGUAG
rnacentral:lncRNA from 1 species